GUGCUCUGAUAAGAGUCACGAAGAAGAAGCAUCGGGCUGUGAUUGGCUGGUAUUAUUAUAAAAUGAGGAAACUGAUACUUUCAAACUAGACUGGCGUUUCAACGCUUGUGUUGUUUUUAUGGAUUUUGGCAUUUCGUCCGAAAUCACGGUGGUUUAAAGUUUAUGAUUUUGAACUAAAACUAAAGAUCGCCUGUUAAAAUACAUCCUGAAACAUAAAAUAGACGUGUCUUCUCCAAGAGAGCCUGCUUUGAGACUGUGAGAGAACUUUGAAGAAAAUGUGCUUAAAGCCUCUCUAGUAUUGUUUUUUUUUUUUUUUAGAAGAGGAAAGUCCUGUUUCAGUCUUCCUCAAAGCAAAACAAAGGAGUCGCUCUCUCAUGGCUAAUACCACAACCUCAUACAUCACAGUGGAUCCACAUGCUGAUGAAUGCCGUGAAAAUGUUCCACCUAGAGAUCCUAAAGCUGAUGACUCUUCAAAGCUAGAAAACACUGAGAAUUUCACCUUACAGUUGCAAGAAGAUGGUGUGAAUGCUUUUGUCUCUUCCACUCCUGCUUUAAAGAAUAAAAGCAGUGAUUUCCAGGCAAAGUCGUUGCUGUCAGGUGUGCAGUAUGCUCUAACCCCAGUCUUUAAAAACCCAAAUAUCUGGAAUAAAAGCGCAUCUCCAGAGCCUUUUAAACUUCGAAACAGUUCUAAUCUUGCUGUUCCUUCUAGUUUUCAUGCUGCAAAUUGUCAAAAAUCAACCAGAGACUCAAGGACACAAAAGAAUGGCGAGGAUUUCUCUAUGAUCAACAAUGAAUGCUUGCCUGAAGUUACUCUGUUCGAUAUUACCUCAGAUUCAAUGAUGGACCUGACAACGAAUGAUUCAGUCUUCCCUGAAAGACAACAUGCAACUCCUCAGCUUUAUGUUAAAAAGA